CCCUGAUGAUUUCUAGAUGACGAGUCUUAUUCGGGUCCACCGAUGCAGACAACAUAACCUAAUUACCAUUCAUGCAUACCUGAUC
rfam:Magnaporthe poae ATCC 64411 unplaced genomic scaffold supercont1.168, whole genome shotgun sequence.